UACGUAGGGUGCAAGCGUUGUCCGGAAUUAUUGGGCGUAAAGAGCUCGUAGGCGGUCUGUCGCGUCUGCUGUGAAAACCUAGGGCUUAACCCUGGGCCUGCAGUGGGUACGGGCAGACUAGAGUGCGGUAGGGGAGACUGGAAUUCCUGGUGUAGCGGUGAAAUGCGCAGAUAUCAGGAGGAACACCGGUGGCGAAGGCGGGUCUCUGGGCCGUAACUGACGCUGAGGAGCGAAAGCAUGGGGAGCGAACAGG
rnacentral:rRNA from 1 species